UCCUAACUAUUAUCCACCAUAAAGUGUUUAUAAAGGGCACACAACUGGGCUAAUGUUAUCUCAAGUGAGACAGCAUGAUAUAUCCGUUUACUGCAGCGUCUGCUGGAGAGGAUAGUGAAGAAGAGAGGAGGAAAAAGUCUUAAAGUUUGUUUUUAUUACUGGGUGAUAAAGGGUGCGGUGGUAAUCACAACAUAACUUGGAUGGCAUGAGAACUGGCUCGGUUCAGACUGCAUGCGCUCUUCUUCCGUCUGCGGCCAGCCACAGGACUUUGGGACAGUAACCACCCCGCUACACCGGCUCCAGCUCGGGCUACGAUCGGAUCAUUUACAAGAAACUGGAUUACAAACUUUCUGCAAACCGCCCUUGCCAGUCCUGGUUUAACUGAUUCUGGUCUGACAUGACCAGCUAAAGAGAAGCUAUUAACAAACAUUGUACUGCAAAGGAGUCCUGCAGGGUGUCACAUCAGAUUUUGGCCUGUGGCUAACCACCCGAGCUAUUUUGAAGCCAUAAACCUCUGAUGUCAAAAGGUAUGGGCUCCUCUGGCAUGCAAGUACAAGCAGUGUACCAUAAAUGUUCUGUCAGGGGUCUGUGGUGUUUAACGUCUCUGUGAUUUGCUUUUUGACAAACCUCUUCUUUUUAUAUUCCAAUGUUAGUUGUGUAGAGAUCUUCCACAGCGCCGGACUUCUAAACUUAUCCUUGGUGGACUGAAAUACAGCGUAAUCUUUUCCCUUCGUGUCAUUCAAAUAAGUUAACAUUUGGAAUGAUGAAGGCUUACAGCUUAUGAUAAUACCUCUUCAUAAUCUUGAGUAAUCUUCAAUCAAUGAUGGGUCCUAUCAGAUUCCAGACACUCAUUGACAGCCUGAAUAUAAGAAUAUAUAAUAAAAAAUUAAUAAAGAAGAGGCUCUAACUUUGACAUGAGCUAUAUCUCCACAUCUAUCAGAUAAGUCUGCAUAAUUAAAAUGCCAAGUGUGAGUAUGGGGGGGGGGGGGGUAUUUUAUAGAGAUUUACUUUUCCAUGACUUGUUUAAUGUGUAGACUUAAAAAACGAAUAUGUUGCUGUAGUUUUGACAAUGCAAUUAAAGGUUUGUAAUCCCCUCCUGAGCUUUUUUGAUUUUGUCAGUUCGGACGAAGAAUGUGAUGAAAUGCUGUUCAGCGGUGACAGAUGCAAGUUUAUUAAAGGAUUCAAGUCUCGCAGGGGAUUCAUGGUGUUAUUUUAUAGCAACACGAAAGAGGAGAGGAAGCAACUUCAGCUUGUUUACAUGAACUAUGAAAUAGUUGUUCAGCAGAAUAUAUACAGAGCAUCAGGAAGCACUGUUUUUUUUUCUCCCUUUUAAACGUGAGCUACAUUACAUGCCACCACAGGCAAAACUUUAUCUGAGAUUCCCUGCUUCCUGGAACAACCUUGCUAAAAAUCCAUACCAACUUGGCUAAAUAAAGUGACAUAUUUCAUGUUUCAAAAUACCAGCCUCUCUGACAUGCACACUCCUUCCCUCUCCUCCUCCCUUGGCUUUUGUUUUCUUUGACACGUGCACUCCAAUUAGCAUUUUCCAGCCAUUAAGGAGAGAGAAGCAGCCAAAUGUUUGUCUCACCAAGCUCCUUUUUCC